CGCCCCCUGCCCCGAGGUCUCUUUAGCGCUGACGUUAGCCGACCCGCAGGCAUCAGGCAGCGGCGGAAGCUACUGGGGCCGGAGCAGUCGGGUGGACGGAGGCUGGAGUGGGCGCUGAGGUGACCGCCAUGGCGUUUCUCAAACUUCGCGACCAGGGUGAACUCUGUUGGAGAAGCUGUUCAGCCAGCAGGAGAAUGGGCCUCCAGAAGAAGCAGAGCAAUUUUGCUCACGGAUCAUUGCCAUGAGUCUUCUACUUCCUUUUAGUGACUGCUUCAGGGAACCAUGUCAUCAGAAUGCCCAGUCAAGUUCUGCUCCAUUUGAUAUAUGAACUGCUUGCUUCCUUUCCAGUCCAGACUCUCAAUCUGCUAUUUUGGAAACUCCAAAAAAAAGUUCAGAUGCUGCCUAGCAGAGAGCACAGUCAGAUGAACUGGAAAAAAUUGAAAAGCACGGCCCAUCCUCUAAAGACAAGGAAAAUGCCAAGUCUCUGGACAAACCUGAACAGUAAGCAAUGACUUCAGGCCCCAUAGAGGGCAUCGAGGCUACAGCGGGCUCUUGCCAUUUGGAAAAACAGUGUCUUGAGGGUGUAAUUGUUAUGAAUGAGAUGAGUAUUAACAUCUGUUUAUACAAACUAUAUUUUUCCUCUUAACUUGGCUUUAUUUCCUUAGGUUCCUUUGUGAACUGUCAUUAAUCCCCCACUUUUCAGAGUGAGUCUUUUGCAUCAUGUUCCAGUUAACAUUUUCAGAAAUUAUUUGCUCAAUUCAUUGCACACUAGAAUUACACAGAAAUUAGUGCGGAGGGUUCUGGUCCAAAGUGAAGGAAGCUUGAGUUCUAAUAUUUAAUUCUGUUCAGUCAUGUUUAUAUUACAAAAUUUUUAUUUACUCUAAGUACUCAUUAAAUUUGAGGGAUAGCAGUCCCACAGGUGGGAACAUUUAUGAUUGAGCUUCAAGAUCAAAGCACAUGCUCAGAUUGGCAAACAGGGCUGCAGGACUGCAUUGAGAGAGUGUGGCCAGUGUGUGCUGGCCUCUGGAGAGCUCUUUUACCACUGCUUUUGCCAAAACCAAAUCUUUACUUUUUAUGGUCCCCUUGGAUAGCAGACUUCCAAAUGAAUGUGACUCAAAGGCAUAUUAUUUACUUCCCUUCAUUUCUUUGGAAUGGCCCCUCAACAAAUUAUUAAUAUUAUUCCAACCAAAUGAUUUAAGAGAAGCCAUUUGGUUCAACAGAAGAUAAAAAUUCCUUUGAAAAUGAAGAAUGAAUGUUUGGCAAAAAUGACCAAUAUUAACAUUUUUUUAAAAAUUGUCAAAAAUCAGUAGUACCAUUUGUUCUAGUUGUUACCAUCCUUUUGAAAAGUGGAGAGAUGUUAUCAAAGACAUCUUCAGAGGAAAUGACAUGAAAAUUGAAGUUAAGUAUGUUCUGGAAGAAGUGAGUGUGUACUCAUUUGGAAAUGAAUCUUUAUAACUUCGUUUUGGUUUUCUAUAACUUAUGCCAAAAUAUAUUGUUUUAGACAUAGGCACAAUUAGGAUAAUGAUGAUGAUGAUGUUUUAUAGUAGUUCUCAGUGUUAUAGCCAUAUUUAUUUCCCUUGCAAUUCCAUCACAGAAAAGGCCUAGCUUGGUAUCUUUCAACUUACAAAAGCUUACCUGAAUGCUUGUUGGUACAUCUUUUUAAAGUUAACUUUGGGGAACACUGCUCUUAAAGUAUACAUAGUACUGAAGAAGGACAAAGUUUGGUUGUGACCCAAAACUAUUGCUAUAAUACGAAUGAAUAGUUGGCAUCAAUUUUGGAUGAUUCAAGUAAAACUUUGUAUAAGAAAAAAUUUGUUCUUUAUCCUGUCUUACAGACAUUAAAAAAUGGCCCAGGGGUUAUGCAAGUUCUAGGUUUGGUUCUUGCCUUUGGCAACUACAUGAAAGGUGGAAAUAAAACUCGGGGACAGGCAGAUGGCUUUGGAUUAGACAUUCUCCCAAAGCUGAAAGAUGUCAAAAGCAGUGGAAGUAUUUUUUAUUAAUGGAUAUAGGCAAAUUGAGAAUGUUUUGUCUGGUAAUAGAUUUGACUAUAAAUCAGUUGUAGUAAAUAUUUCUUUAUGUUCCAAGAUCAAAUGUUUCUUUAUGUUCUGAGGUAGAUAAAAGUAAACCACAGCAUAUUUGUGAAUAAUGAUGUCUCCUGAAGUGAGUAAUUUGAAUUUUAUGUCUAAUGAAUAACUAUAGUAUUUCUAAAUAAAAGUAAUUAUUCUUUUCAGUCUGUCAUUACCAAGUCUGCUACUAUUUCCCUUUUGGGAAUGUGAGGAUGAAUCAUUUUCUGUGAAUUAGAUAUCUACCUGUUAUCUUCUCCAUGUUAGUCUAUAGAGGCCAACAGCUAAUGUAUUUUAAAAACAAAACAAAGAUGAGGGAAGUAAUUUAUAAAUAAAAUAUGAAAGAUGACCUUGCUUUUCUAUAUAUCAUUUCAUUCCUCAUACUGGUGUGCAUGAGAAGGUCUAAGCCACUCUGCAGAUCUAGUUAUUUUUUUAAUCUGCUUCUGCAGAUGUUUAAAAUUAUUAUCUAAGUGAUUGUAAAUGGGCCAGUAGAAAUAUAAGGUUAGAGAUGUUGGGCAGAGUCACAGACUAAAGUCUGAUUUGGUAAACUUAGACAAUAAAGAGGUAUGUUUCUUUGAUAAAAGAAUCACUACACAGAACAUUCUGAUGAAGGAAAUUAUGAACACAUUUCUAAAAUACUGAGUUUAAGUAAACAAUUGGCUUCUAGAAGUGAAAAUAUAUGGAUUGUCCUUCCUAGAUAAUACAGUUAUCUUUCUCAUAAGAUCGAGAGACUUUUUUGGUCUCUUUCGCCAGUUAAGUUUUUGUUUAUUCUUUCAUUCACAUGCAUGUAUGUAUGUACGUAUUUAUCCACCAUCUUUCAUUGAGUGUCUAUGAAAUGCCAGACAGUGUGCUUUUCUAAAAUUAAAUAGCACAUAGUUCUUUCUUGGCAUAAUUUUUUGUGAUUUUUGUGGUUAUUUCAAUAAACACAAAUAUAUAUUUCAAAUGCUAUUAUAUAUGUAUGAGAAACAUUUUCUAGGAAUGUAUAGAAUUAAUAAAUCA